AAAAAAGGUAAGCUACUAAGAGCGAAUGGUGGAUGCCUUGACUGGUAAAGGCGAUGAAGGACGUACUAGACUGCGAUAAGCUACGGGGAGCUGUCAAGAAGCUUUGAUCCGUAGAUUUCCGAAUGGGGCAACCCAAUGUAUAGAGAUAUACAUUACCUAUAUAGGAGCGAACGAGGGGAAUUGAAACAUCUUAGUACCCUCAGGAAAAGAAAUCAAUAGAGAUUGCGUCAGUAGCGGCGAGCGAAAGCGCAAGAGGGCAAACCCAGUGCUUGCACUGGGGGUUGUAGGACUGCAAUGUGCAAGAGGUAAGUUUAGCAGAACAUUCUGGAAAGUAUAACCAUAGAGGGUGAUAGUCCCGUAUGCGAAAAACAAACCUUAGCUAGCAGUAUCCUGAGUAGGGCGGGACACGAGGAAUCCUGUCUGAAUCCGGGUCGACCACGAUCCAACCCUAAAUACUAAUACCAGAUCGAUAGUGCACAAGUACCGUGAGGGAAAGGUGAAAAGAACUGAGGUGAUCAGAGUGAAAUAGAACCUGAAACCAUUUGCUUACAAUCAUUCAGAGCCCUAUGUAGCAAUACAGGGUGAUGGACUGCCUUUUGCAUAAUGAGCCUGCGAGUUGUGGUGUCUGGCAAGGUUAAGCAAACGCGAAGCCGUAGCGAAAGCGAGUCUGAAUAGGGCGCUUAGUCAGAUGCUGCAGACCCGAAACGAAGUGAUCUAUCCAUGAGCAAGUUGAAGCUAGUGUAAGAACUAGUGGAGGACUGAACCCAUAGGCGUUGAAAAGCCCCGGGAUGACUUGUGGAUAGGGGUGAAAGGCCAAUCAAACUUCGUGAUAGCUGGUUCUCUCCGAAAUAUAUUUAGGUAUAGCGUUGUGUCGUAAUAUAAGGGGGUAGAGCACUGAAUGGGCUAGGGCAUACACCAAUGUACCAAACCCUAUCAAACUCCGAAUACCUUAUAUGUAAUCACAGCAGUCAGGCGGCGAGUGAUAAAAUCCGUCGUCAAGAGGGAAACAACCCAGACUACCAGCUAAGGUCCCUAAAUCUUACUUAAGUGGAAAACGAUGUGAAGUUACUUAAACAACCAGGAGGUUGGCUUAGAAGCAGCCAUCCUUUAAAGAAAGCGUAAUAGCUCACUGGUCUAGUGAUUUUGCGCGGAAAAUAUAACGGGGCUAAAGUAAGUACCGAAGCUGUAGACUUGCACACAACUUAGAUUAUUUAAGUUUAGAAUAUGAGAAACUAAGUUAUAUGUUUAGUUAUAUUUUUACUGAUUUUUAUAGAGUAAAGAUAGAAAUAAAACUUAGUAAAAUCAGUAAAAAUAUUCUUAGACUAAAGUUAAGUAGUUUAAGUUGUGUGCAAGUGGUAGGAGAGCGUUCUAUUUGCGUUGAAGGUAUACCGGUAAGGAGUGCUGGAGCGAAUAGAAGUGAGCAUGCAGGCAUGAGUAGCGAUAAUUAAUGUGAGAAUCAUUAACGCCGUAAACCCAAGGUUUCCUACGCGAUGCUCGUCAUCGUAGGGUUAGUCGGGUCCUAAGUCGAGUCCGAAAGGGGUAGACGAUGGCAAAUUGGUUAAUAUUCCAAUACCAACAUUAGUGUGCGAUGGAAGGACGCUUAGGGCUAAGGGGGCUAGCGGAUGGAAGUGCUAGUCUAAGGUCGUAGGAGGUUAUACAGGCAAAUCCGUAUAACAAUACUCCGAGAACUGAAAGGCUUUUUGAAGUCUUCGGAUGGAUAGAAGAACCCCUGAUGCCGUCGAGCCAAGAAAAGUUUCUAAGUUUAGCUAAUGUUGCCCGUACCGUAAACCGACACAGGUGGGUGGGAUGAGUAUUCUAAGGCGCGUGGAAGAACUCUCUUUAAGGAACUCUGCAAAAUAGCACCGUAUCUUCGGUAUAAGGUGUGGUUAGCUUUGUAUUAGGAUUUACUCCGAAAGCAAGGAAACUUACAACAAAGAGUCCCUCCCGACUGUUUACCAAAAACACAGCACUCUGCUAACUCGUAAGAGGAUGUAUAGGGUGUGACGCCUGCCCGGUGCUCGAAGGUUAAUUGAUGGGGUUAGCAUUAGCGAAGCUCUUGAUCGAAGCCCGAGUAAACGGCGGCCGUAACUAUAACGGUCCUAAGGUAGCGAAAUUCCUUGUCGGUUAAAUACCGACCUGCAUGAAUGGCGUAACGAGAUGGGAGCUGUCUCAAAGAGGGAUCCAGUGAAAUUGUAGUGGAGGUGAAAAUUCCUCCUACCCGCGGCAAGACGGAAAGACCCCGUGGACCUUUACUACAGCUUGACACUGCUACUUGGAUAAGAAUGUGCAGGAUAGGUGGGAGGCUUUGAGUAUAUGACGCCAGUUGUAUAUGAGCCAUUGUUGAGAUACCACUCUUUCUUAUUUGGGUAGCUAACCAGCUUGAGUUAUCCUCAAGUGGGACAAUGUCUGGUGGGUAGUUUGACUGGGGCGGUCGCCUCCCAAAUAAUAACGGAGGCUUACAAAGGUUGGCUCAGAACGGUUGGAAAUCGUUCGUAGAGUAUAAAGGUAUAAGCCAGCUUAACUGCAAGACAUACAAGUCAAGCAGAGACGAAAGUCGGUCUUAGUGAUCCGGUGGUUCUGUGUGGAAGGGCCAUCGCUCAAAGGAUAAAAGGUACCCCGGGGAUAACAGGCUGAUCUCCCCCAAGAGCUCACAUCGACGGGGAGGUUUGGCACCUCGAUGUCGGCUCAUCGCAUCCUGGGGCUGGAGCAGGUCCCAAGGGUAUGGCUGUUCGCCAUUUAAAGCGGUACGCGAGCUGGGUUCAGAACGUCGUGAGACAGUUCGGUCCCUAUCUGCCGUGGGCGUAAGAAGAUUGAAGAGAUUUGACCCUAGUACGAGAGGACCGGGUUGAACAAACCACUGGUGUAGCUGUUGUUCUGCCAAGAGCAUCGCAGCGUAGCUAAGUUUGGAAAGGAUAAACGCUGAAAGCAUCUAAGCGUGAAGCCAACUCUAAGAUGAAUCUUCUCUAAGCUCUCUAGAAGACUACUAGUUUGAUAGGCUGGGUGUGUAAUGGAUGAAAGUCCUUUAGCUGACCAGUACUAAUAGAGCGUUUGGCUUAUCUUUAAUAAAGCAU
rnacentral:rRNA from 1 species